rnacentral:rRNA from 1 species
UACGGAGGAUCCGAGCGUUAUCCGGAUUUAUUGGGUUUAAAGGGUGCGCAGGCGGGAGAUUAAGUCGGCGGUGAAAUUUUGCAGCUCAACUGUAAAAGUGCCUUCGAAACUGGUUUCCUUGAGUGUGGAUGAAGUAGGCGGAAUUUGUGGUGUAGCGGUGAAAUGCAUAGAUAUCACGAGGAACUCCGAUUGCGCAGGCAGCUUACUAAACCAUAACUGACGCUCAGGCACGAAGGCGUGGGGAUCAAACAGGAUUAGAUAUCCCCGUA